CAGCAGCCCCCUCCUCGCCAGUAAAACAAGUUGUGGCAUACAACACUCCGCUCCCUGAUGAGGGGGUCCUCUGAUCCAUGUCACCCCUACUGACUAGACAAUCUUGAUUUUAUUUUUUACAGUGUAACCCGCUGUGCUCUGCAAGCACCAUCAGAGCUCCUUCAAAAGACAAAUCAGCCUGCCAGCUCUGGAAAGGAUGGGCAUGGACCCUGACUUCUGAGGACACUGGUGCCUAGCCUACUAGUGUGUUUGUGCUGGAAUUAAGCAGAAACAUGUAGCUAAAAUAAGAGAAGCAAUAAUCCCAAUCUGGUCAGAAGCAGUACAGGUGAGUCGCAUCAUAUGCGCAUUUAAUUUACGCGAAUUCAACUAUACGCGCUUGGCAAAAAAAAGAAAACAAGAUACCUGUAAAUAGUGCGGGCGAUUCCACCCUCCAUUCCACUCAAUGAGUGUAUGCCCCGGAGUGAGCAUGAGAUGGGAAACGUGAAUCUGCUGUUCCCUCAGUCAGUCUUAGUUCCCGCAUGCCUCGCAUAGUGUGAGCAUCUUGCCGCGCUGAGUGUGAUUCUAGUGUUUAAAG
rnacentral:lncRNA from 1 species